rnacentral:other from 1 species
AUUUCAAAGCUUGUUUUAGUGCAUUAUGCUAUUUUAC